GGCAAGAUGGCCGAGCGGUCUAAGGCGCUACGUUAAGGUUAACCCUUAAUCUGAGUUUAAUCUCAUAUCCGUAGUCCGAAAGGGCGUGGGUUCGAAUCCCACUCUUGUCA
rnacentral:tRNA from 1 species